rnacentral:rRNA from 1 species
GAUGAACGCUGGCGGCAUGCCUUACACAUGCAAGUCGAACGGCAGCACGGGAGCAAUCCUGGUGGCGAGUGGCGAACGGGUGAGUAAUAUAUCGGAACGUGCCCAGUCGUGGGGGAUAACGUAGCGAAAGCUACGCUAAUACCGCAUACGAUCUAUGGAUGAAAGCGGGGGAUCGCAAGACCUCGCGCGAUUGGAGCGGCCGAUAUCAGAUUAGGUAGUUGGUGAGGUAAAGGCUCACCAAGCCGACGAUCUGUAGCUGGUCUGAGGAGGACGACAGCCACACGUGGACUGAGACACGGCCCAGACUCC